AACCUAAGACAAGAAGAAACCACAGGAGAUGCUGGUGAACUUGAACAUAAGGGAGCGCAUAGGGUCUUGGUGAAAUCCCUCAUUAGCUGCAGUCAUAAUGGACGACAUCUUCCCUCAGCUUUGGAGCCGUGUUUGAAGUCCUCCAGCCUCCUACUACCCCUGCAGCCUCUUAACCCAUCAUUUACUUCAUCCAAAGAUGAAGAAAAUCCUUAUUUGAGCUUUAGGACCACCAACCCACCAAGCACUCUCAGCAUCCAAGAGUAUGCAGGCAGGGACACGAGCUAGGCUGGCACCCGGCAGAGCGGGGUGUUCUAAUGACGUUAGAGGUGUCCCUGCAAGGGGCACAAUGUCCUAGUGUUUGGUACUGUAUCCGGAGGACCACUGUAAGUGAUGAUGUCACAAACUGUCCAAGGAACCUUCGACUCUGAAGAAGACUACAAGCUGCCCCCCAUUAUCAGUCACCCUCCUCUAUGGGGAGGGAACCUCUAGCCUCACACACAUCAGGUUACUGGGGUACUUCCAGCAACAGAAAGCAAACUAGGAUCUGGCUUAAGGUACAGUCCCUAGAACUGCAGUGUACCAAGACAGGAAAGAGCCAACGAUAGCACAAAUCGGUGUGACAGUCCUGCUCAUCUCCAUGAAGCCAGAGACAAGACCUCCUGGAUGAUUAAGAAUUGUGACUGUGUAACCUAUUAUGACAUUUUCAUCAAAGUUUUCAACCCUCUUAGAUGAUGGGUUCUCAGCCUGUGGGUCGAGACCCUCUUGGGGUUCAAAUGACGCUUUCAUAGGUGUCACUUAAGAAAAUCCAAAAACACAGAUGAUUGCAUUGUGACUCAUAACAGUAGCAAGAUUAUAGUUGUGAAGUAGCAAUGAAACAA